UACGGGGGGGCAAGCGUUGUUCGGAAUUACUGGGCGUAAAGGGCUCGUAGGCGGCCAACUAAGUCGGAUGUGAAAUCCCCAGGCUUAACCUGGGAACUGCAUCCGAUACUGGAUGGCUUGAAUCCGGGAGAGGGAUGCAGAAUUCCAGGUGUAGCGGUGAAAUGCGCAGAUAUCAGGAGGAACACCAAUAGCGAAGGCAGCUCGCUGGGACGGUAUUGACGCUAAGGCGCGAAAGCGUGGGGAGCAAACAGGG
rnacentral:rRNA from 1 species